GGACCAAGGAGUCUAGCAUGUGCGCGAGUCGUUGGGACUUGCGAAACCUAAAGGCGAAAUGAAAGUGAAGGCCCGCCUCGCGCGGGCCGAGGGAGGAUGGGCCGCGUCACGACGCGGCCCCGCACUCCCGGGGCGUCUCGUUCUCAUUGCGAGAAGAGGCGCACCCAGAGCGUACACGCUGGGACCCGAAAGAUGGUGAACUAUGCCUGGUCAGGACGAAGUCAGGGGAAACCCUGAUGGAGGUCCGUAGCGAUUCUGACGUGCAAAUCGAUCGUCGGAACUGGGUAUAGGGGCGAAAGACUAAUCGAACCAUCUAGUAGCUGGUUCCCUCCGAAGUUUCCCUCAGGAUAGCUGGCGCUCGCUUUUGCGAGUCUCAUCCGGUAAAGCGAAUGAUUAGAGGCAUUGGGGUCGAAACGGCCUCAACCUAUUCUCAAACUUUAAAUGGGUGAGAUCUCCGGCUUGCUCAAACUUGAAGCCGCGAGAUUAACUUAAUAUAAGGAUCAGAGUGCCAAGUGGGCCACUUUUGGUAAGCAGAACUGGCGCUGUGGGAUGAACCAAACGCAGAGUUAAAGCGCCAAAAUCGACGCUUAUGGGAUACCAUGAAAGGCGUU
rnacentral:rRNA from 1 species